UACGGAGGAUGCAAGCGUUAUCCGGAUUUAUUAGGUUUAAAGGGUGCGUAGGUGGGCGUUUAAGUCAGUGGUUAAAGCCAUUAGCUUAACUAAUGUAUGCCAUUGAUACUGGAUGUCUUGAAUGUGGUAGAGGUAGGCGGAAUGUGUUGUGUAGCGGUGAAAUGCUUAGAUAUAACACAGAACACCGAUUGCGAAGGCAGCUUACUAUUCCAUUAUUGACGCUGAUGCACGAAAGCGUGGGGAUCAAACAGGAUUAGA
rnacentral:rRNA from 1 species